CCUACGGGUGGCAGCAGUCGAGAAUCAUUCACAAUGGGGGAAACCCUGAUGGUGCGACGUCGCGUGGGGGAAUGAAGGCCUACGGAUUGUAAACCCCUGUCAUGUGGGAGCAAAUUAAAAAGCUAGAACCACAAGAGGAAGAGACGGCUAACUCUGUGCCAGCAGCCGCGGUAAUACAGAGGUCUCAAGCGUUGUUCGGAAUCACUUGUCGUAAAGUGUGCGUAGGCUGUUUCGUAAGUCGGGUGUGAAAGGCGCGGGCUCAACCCGCGGACGGCAGAUGAUACUGGGAGACUAGAGUAAUGGAGGGGGAAGCGGAAUUCUCGGUGUAGCAGUGAAAUGCGUAGAUAUCGAGAGGAACACUCGUGGCGAAGGCGGGUUCCUGGACAUUAACUGACGCUGAGGCACGAAGGCCAGGGGAGCGAAAGGGAUUAGAUACCCUUGUAGUC
rnacentral:rRNA from 1 species